rnacentral:rRNA from 1 species
UACAGAGGGGCAAGCGUUGUUCGGAAUUACUGGGCGUAAAGGGCGCGUAGGCGGCCUGUUAAGUCGAACGUGAAAUCCCCGGGCUCAACCCGGGAACUGCGUCCGAUACUGGCAGGCUUGAAUUCGGGAGAGGGAUGCGGAAUCCAGGUGUAGCGGUGAAAUGCGUAGAUAUCUGGAGGAACACCGGUGGCGAAGGCGGCAUCCUGGACCGAGAUUGACGCUGAGGCGCGAAAGCCAGGGGAGCAAAACGGGGAUUGAGAAACCCUAGGUAGU